rnacentral:tRNA from 1 species
GCCGGGGUGGCUCAGCUGGUUAGAGCGCACGGCUCAUAGUACCGUGAGGCCACGGGUUCGAAUCCCGUUCCCGGCA